GAGGAGGGAAUAGCUCUGGAUGAAGCAGCGACAACAAACACACACAAAUCCAACCCAAAACAACCCCUCCUACCCCCCAAAUAAACAAACAAACAAAAAACAUCAUCAGUGCGUAUCGUUAAAGCACAUAGAAAUCACAGCGGUUCGUAAACAUACCGCAAAGGAAGCAGAAAGGUGUGGGGAAAAUACACUGAGAAGUUGCAGGCGGCUGUGGCAGAAAGACCCCAAAUUUGCCCUAAGCGCAGGGCUGACCCUGCAGCACUUCUGCUCGCUCUGCUUAACUGGCUCCAGGUUGAAUGUAUCUGGAGUGGGCUGGUUUCAACCUUAAUCCAGGUUAUUUAUAAUCGGAAAGGAAAGGAAAGGAGAAGGAAAGGAAAGGAAAGGAAAGGAAAGGAAAGGAGAAGGAAAGGAAAGGAAAGGAGAAGGAAAGGAAAGGAGAAGGAAAGGAAAGGAGAAGGAAAGGAAAAGAGAAGGAAAGGAAAAGAUUAUUCCUUAUGCUACAACUUUCUGCAAAGAGAAUUUAGGAUUAAAGUGUUGUGUAAUUGGCUGUUUUUGCUUUGGCAGUUUUCUGGUAUAUCACUUCCGAUAGUUCAGCACAGAGAUACUUUCAGUUUUCAUACAUUAGUUAUGUGAUGCAUCCUCUUUAAUGUUUGUAGUUCUUUGAGAAGAAAAAUGUUACAGAUGCUGAAAGAGUUAUUACCUUAGAAUUUGAGUCACUACCACUAUGCUUAGGAACAUGAUGGAUUGUCGUGCAGUUUACUAUAUAAAACAUGUUCAGAGAUCUGGAAGUAGUGCAACCCCAUCCUAUUUUUCAUUCUGGUGCAUGGGAUGUCUUUAAAUAUCAAGGGCAGCCACGGUUCAAUGGUUAAAUUUGCUGCAUAAGCAUCCUGCUACGGUAGACAAGCCUUUCUGUACUUUUUUUGUGUGUAUUCCUUAAAUAAUGUCUGGACUUGCUUCCACAAUUUCAGACUAAAAAGAACUCGUGUUGUGAUGGAUUGCUAUUCCUAAUGGCCUUCAAUUAGGUACUCUUCCAGAUUUCUUUUUUAUUUCCCUAGUAUUUUGACUUUAUGUACAGCUUCACAGUUUUAUAUCUGGUAUAUAUCACAAUAUGCUCUUCACUACUUUGCAUGGUUUGUUUGUAUUGGCACAUUUAUUAAACACUGUAUUUAAAAUGCAGCAGCACUGAGCUGUUAGAAGAUGUAAUGUGUACUCCUCUCUCCAAACAAGAAAGUAGAAAAAUAGGUGUAGUAUCUGCAGAGUGGAUUUUAAAAUUACUUUGACAUCACAAUUUAUCUUAAAUAUUAUUUAAUAUCAUUUACAUUUUCUGA
rnacentral:lncRNA from 1 species